rnacentral:rRNA from 1 species
UACGAAGGGGGCUAGCGUUGCUCGGAAUUACUGGGCGUAAAGGGCGCGUAGGCGGAUAUUUAAGUCGGGGGUGAAAGCCCAGGGCUCAACCCUGGAACAGCCUUCGAUACUGGAUAUCUUGAGUAACGGAAGAGGUAUGUGGAACUCCGAGUGAGAGGUGAAAUUCGUAGAUAUUCGGAAGAACACCAGUGGCGAAGGCGACAUACUGGUCCGUUACUGACGCUGAGGCUCGGAAAGCGUGGG